rnacentral:rRNA from 1 species
UGCCUAAUACAUGCAAGUCGAACGCGUUGGCCCGAUUGAUUGAUGGUGCUUGCACCUGAUUGAUUUUGGCCGCCAACGAGUGGCGGACGGGUGAGUAACACGUAGGUAACCUGCCCAGAAGCAGGGGACAACAUUUGGAAACAGAUGCUAAUACCGCAUAACAACGUUGUUCGCAUGAACAACGCUUAAAAGAUGGCUUCUCGCUAUCACUUCUGGAUGGACCUGCGGUGCAUUAGCUUGUUGGUGGGGUAAUGGCCUACCAAGGCGAUGAUGCAUAGCCGAGUUGAGAGACUGAUCGGCCACAAUGGGACUGAGACACGGCCCAUACUCCUACGGGAGGCAGCAGUAGGGAAUCUUCCACAAUGGGCGCAAGCCUGAUGGAGCAACACCGCGUGAGUGAAGAAGGGUUUCGGCUCGUAAAGCUCUGUUGUUAAAGAAGAACACGUAUGAGAGUAACUGUUCAUACGUUGACGGUAUUUAACCAGAAAGUCACGGCUAACUACGUGCCAGCAGCCGCGGUAAUACGUAGGUGGCAAGCGUUAUCCGGAUUUAUUGGGCGUAAAGAGAGUGCAGGCGGUUUUCUAAGUCUGAUGUGAAAGCCUUCGGCUUAACCGGAGAAGUGCAUCGGAAACUGGAUAACUUGAGUGCAGAAGAGGGUAGUGGAACUCCAUGUGUAGCGGUGGAAUGCGUAGAUAUAUGGAAGAACACCAGUGGCGAAGGCGGCUACCUGGUCUGCAACUGACGC